GAUCAGCUCCAUGAUGAGACAACCCUCAGCUCAAUGUUUGAUUACAUCUCAAACAGUAGCUCUGGUUCACUUCAGGAGAGGACUGUGGGCCGGGUUUAAAGGAUGGCCUCACUCAGAGACUACGGGGUGACUGAUCCAGACUGCUACAGGAAAUGUUGAGGGUCAAAGGAUCGACUGUGCUAACUCUUGUGUUUAACCUCCUGACGAUCAUCAAACUAAGCCUGGAAAUCAGCAGAGUGGGCAGAAACCAGAUCGCCAGCUAGUCAACGACCUCUAAGACCUCUUGAUGGACUUCAUUUAUCAUGGAUCAGGAUCUUACAGCAGUGUCUUGGGGUUUCACUGGAGUCUCAGAGGUACACCUGAUUGUUUUCUUUUCAUGUUGAUUUGCAGGGCUCUGCACAUGUUCCCAUCAUCCACCACUAAUUCAUGUGUUGCCGUUCAUGUUUUAAUUGUUGCUUUACAGAAAAAAGGUUGUCGACUUUUGAUCCAAACACAAUUAAAACACAGUGUUCCUUUAUGUGUUUCAUAAAGUCAGACCCAUGGUACAAGGAUCUGAAUAGGUUAAAGGUUUGAUAUAAUGUAUUUACGGUGAGGUUUGGUUUAAUAUAAUGU